rnacentral:rRNA from 1 species
GAUGAACGCUGGCGGCGUGCUUAACACAUGCAAGUCGAACGAUGAAGCCCAGCUUGCUGGGUGGAUUAGUGGCGAACGGGUGAGUAACACGUGAGUAACCUGCCCUUAACUCUGAGAUAAGCCUGGGAAACUGGGUCUAAUACCGGAUAGGAGCGUCCACCGCAUGGUGGGUGUUGGAAAGAUUUAUCGGUUUUGGAUGGACUCGCGGCCUAUCAGCUUGUUGGUGAGGUAAUGGCUCACCAAGGCGACGACGGGUAGCCGGCCUGAGAGGGUGACCGGCCACACUGGGACUGAGACACGGCCCAGACUCCUACGGGAGGCAGCAGUGGGGAAUAUUGCACAAUGGGCGCAAGCCUGAUGCAGCGACGCCGCGUGAGGGAUGACGGCCUUCGGGUUGUAAACCUCUUUCAGUAGGGAAGAAGCGAAAGUGACGGUACCUGCAGAAGAAGCACCGGCUAACUACGUG